UAAUGGUAAGAUCACGUACAUCAACUCUCAUCAGAUCAUACAUUUCGUCGGAGGAGGUAACGGAAGCCGAAGGGAAGGCAGCCAUGAAGAUGGAGUUCAUGACGCCCCGGUGAUUCUUCCCUGCGAGGCCGCGGUCCAUGACUGCAAGAGUCCAAGUUGCGGUGCGACUCCACAAUGUCGCGACGAGUGGACUCGGACUGCCACAGCAACUCACUCCGAGUUGAACCGGUACUAAGAGCCACAAAACCGCCCGCCAAAAGCAACAAACCGCGAGGGCUCGCCAUCGAUUUCUACCAGACUACCGCGACGGGUUUCUCCCGCCCCCCCUUCCCCUUUCCCUCCUCCUAGCUCUGGCGUCUCGAUCUCAGCCGCCUCCGGUACCCCUCGUUGUCCUCCUCAUCCGGCGGCUCCCCUCCUCUCGCCUGCUGCGGCGGGAUCGGCCGAAGCGAGUUCUCGACCGGUGUGCUGUCUUGGGAACCUCAUAUAUUGAUCUCCUCCGUCGUCGAAUGGGCUUCUCAGGUGUAUCAAUUUCAUAUCAUGAUUUAUCUAUCUCCUCCAUCGUGCUAUGCUGCUUCGAGAUGCGCAAAAACAUUUUGAUUGGCGCCUUCAAGAUCUGUGCACGUCAAAUCCUUUGGUCCCUCAGACAAUCCUACAAGAAAGAAAUCACAGCAAAUGUGCAGAAUAAUAAGAGAUUCAUGAUUCCCAAACAUGCGACCUCAGAAAUCCUUUGAUCUAUCCGAGAAACAUUCGAGUAGAGAGUUGGAUUUGGGUGCAGACACAUCAAAUCAGACAGGUUCAGAUUCGAACAUCUACUCAUUACAGAUAUCGAUAUCUAUUUUUGACUCGUCUGAAUCGAAACCAGAUAUGUUUUGAUGGGAUUUGAGACCGAUUGAGAUUCAACUUUACAUUGGAUUUGACGAACCGAUCAACUUUGGCUACCUUUCAUCGGUUCACUUCAGAUAGUACAAACAGGCGACCCGUUCAACAUCAGAGGCAUGAAUGGGGCCCGUACGUAGACCAAUUCCAACCAUGACAACUCCAAACACCGAGUGGGUUGCCUCUGCAUCAACUCUCACCUACCGUCCUGGAUGAUAGGUUCACUGAUCCACUCCAUCGGUCCCGUUCUUUCACAGAGAUGUCCAUGUCACUCAUCUUCCAUCAACAUCAAACAAGAACCCUCUCCAGGUAUGCGACCUGUCUCUACAUUCUUACAUUUAAAAGUUAAUACUUGUUAAUAUUUGAAUCGACUAGUAGAGCAUCAGAACGAUGCAUAUCGGGAAUGAAUUUUUUUGCAGGUCAAUAGUAUUUUUAAUCUCUUAACAUGUCACUUUUUUUUUCAUCUUAUUCGUAAAGAUAAAAGUCAGACUACAGUUAGUUUGAUUUAAUCACAGCGUUAGCAAACUUGUUACCAUGUGGAGAAUAUCAUUACAUAAGUAUGAAUAAAAUAAAUAAAUAUCAUUGAAUAUUUUAAUCCUCAAUCAUACCGUAAAUUUUCAUCUCACAAGGAAAUAUCUUCUGCACCUUCUACCUAACACUUUUCUACACCAAGGCGAAGGAAAAAAAAAAAAAAGUGUUAGUGUCUCUUUAUAUUUGUGAUCGGGGAGUCAACACGAUAAGGCUCGACUCCAUAUGCAUAGGGUCGACUGGUCCGACACUCGGGCAGUGGAGAUGGGUGUCAGUCUUCACAUGCCUCGUCACGUGUUUAUCGGAUCUUUGCACACAGGUUGGGAUCGGGAGAUUUCUCGACCCGAUCCGACCCUUCCAAAGAUUAAGUUAGUUUUUUUUCCCUUUUCUCCCUUCGGUGCUGGUCAGAGGGUGAGUUUUUAUAUUUACGUGCAGAGCCAAUCGUACUUGGUCCAUUAAUGUCUGUCGACUACUGGGGUGGUCGACCCAUACUUCCCACGUAGGUGUCGAUCGACCCGUAUGGAUUGGUAUCGUGCGGUGUCGCCCCAAGCUUUUCGGAGUGGCCACGUACCUUAUGACAUUGUCCCGAGUUUUUCGGAGCGACAUCGUACGGGUCAACAUCGAGCGACGUCGCCUCGGAUUUUUUGGGGUGGCAUCGUACCAUGCGUGACUUUGUACAGUAUUGCGGGGAUCUGAAUCCGGCAUGUUGUGCUGAUGCGAUCUGCCACCUCAGCUCUGUGCGACGCCCGGUGAUGAUGUGGCUGCAAGCCGCUGCCUAGGAGUGUGCGUCGCCUGUAUAUGCCCUAUCAAAAAGAAAGUUGGAGGAGAAUAGAGCCAAUGGGUGUCAUCAUCAGCCCAUUGGAGUUGCCACCUUGGUGCAAAAGCAAGAUAAAGUGGUGAGCGAGGGUUGAUUGUUUUCAUGUGGGUUGUUUUCGUUGCACUGGUUGUUUUCAUUAGGGUUACAAGUGUCGUUUUCGACUUUCAAGUGCCUUCAUGGAGGGUGCAGAAGCUUCUAGUGGCUUAUAUUUUGUCUAGUGCUUGGAAGACCAUAUAAACUGUACUGUCGACUCACAAGUGUGCAAAUUAGAAGUGUGUUUUUAGGAUAAUUAUAGCACAAGGAUGAUUGCAUAUCCUGAUUGAAGCUGAUCGCAUGAAGCUUCUUUAAAUCCUUAACGAUAAGUGAGGAAAGAAGAAUUCAAACCCAAAAAAACCCAUAUAAUGAUUUAUCAAAUUCUUUAUCAUCUAAGUUGCUCAACAUCUUCUAGGGUUUGUAACUUUUUUUUAAACUACUGAUUUUUUUAGCAUUAUACAUAUUAGGGUUUGUCCUUGACCUUGGGUUGUGUUGUCUCUUAAACAUGGUUAAUCUUCUUUUGAGUUAUAUCUAAGGUGAUGGCAGCCUUCUUGUCCUCCUCUCCCACUACUGAGUCAAUGUGAGUUAGAGACAUUUUAGGAUCAAUAUGGGUAGGUUUAGAAUAUAUUAAGUUUAUUAAGUUAUUUCUCUG